ACUUGAAUCUAAAUGACUUUUCGAAAUUUCCUAAAGACCAAAGAAAAUAUAAGAACUGUCACGAGCCAUUUUGAAGUCUGAGCCAUCAUCGUCUGAGCAGCUGUGCGCAGGAUAAUUGUUCGUUUCAUUUCUGCGAAAUGUCAACGUUCGCGGCCACGCGUGCUGCAUAGAGUGCGGUUUUGUGAGAUUGACAAUCGGACGACGACGUCUGGCCACAUUGAGCCGACGUGAACGCAGGCUUGCGAAACGUCGUUGUCGUUGUCAUCGCGAGUGGUGGUGUGAAACUGAUCAGUCGCGGGGGGAACAAAGAGUCUGCGAUCUGAACGCCUUUUAUUAACCUUGACUCGCUCGUCAACAACGAUUUUGUGAGCUGCUGAAGAUGGUGAUAUAUGUGCAAUAGGAAUUUUCCACAAGAGUACUUAUCUGAACCUCUGAUGAAAGACUCAAGGCUAUUGAAAUUAUAGCCAUGUAUUGUCGUGAUAAAGAAUUGACCGAAUUAGCCAUGUAAAGACACUUUAAGAUGUGCUUGGAUUAUAUCAAUAAUUUGUAUUGUGUAUAUCCUGUUAGUACUUACUAUACAUUACGUGGCAAAUUUAAGUGAGACAAAAUGAGUGGUGAAAGUACAGAAGAAAAUCAGCAUCUACCUCUGGUCCUUGAAGAGAUAAAUCUUGCUUCAUUGCGACCUGUAUUCCCAGAUACAAGCAAACGAUGUGUAGAUGUAUGGACAGAGAAGAUGAAUAAGGGAGUAUUAACAAAUAUUAACUUUAGAGAAUACUGGCGACUUUGGGUUCCAAAAAUAUACACUCCAGAGCUUAACGGCAACUGUCUAGAAUGGAUUAUUGACGAAGACACAGCAAACAGAAUGCUUUUGAGACCUUUGGAGGAAUUUAUCUGUGGUGGUGAUCCACAGGUGAUUCUCAAAGAGCUUACUAAGAUGGAUAAUCCACCAACUAUAUGUGGCAGAAUGUUCAAGAUGGGUGAACCAACCUACAGUUGCAGGGAGUGUGGUAUGGACUCUACGUGCGUUCUCUGUGUCGACUGUUUCAAGCAGUCAGCUCAUCGAAAUCAUAAGUACAAAAUGGGCACAUCCAAUGGAGGCGGAUGCUGUGACUGCGGUGACACAGAAGCCUGGAAAAAUGAGCCAUUCUGUGAAACGCAUGUUGUAGGAACCCUGACGAAGGAGUCUCGUGGUAAUAAACUGCCUGGUGAUAUUGCGGAGAGAGCGGUAGUGACUUUCGAAGCAUUAUUGGAUUAUUGUUACGAACUGCUGACUUUGAGGUUCAUUGUAUCAUUACCACCGAGUCUCAGCAUUAAAGACACAGCAUCAGCAUCUUAUCCGUAUGCGUUCGAUCAGUUGGAUAUUUUCGAUACUUACUGCACUGUGCUCUUCAACGAUGAGCAUCAUACCUUUGAUCAGGUAAUAAACAUGCUCAUGCGCGUUCUCAAAUGUUCGCAGAAAGAAGCUAUUGAAUAUGUGACUGGUGUUGACAGAGAAGGUAGAACCGUGAUAAAAUGCUCAGGAUUUAAACCAUGCACUGACUUGAAAGGUGAGGUAGAGAAAUUCACGUAUAGGCAUAGCAAUCGACCACUCAAGGUACUCGUUCUUCAUAGUCAUGUAGUCGCCCAUCAGACAUUUGCUAUAAGACUGCUCAAAUGGUUGCAGCAAUUCAUAAGUCAUUGUGAGGGUUUUCGUGUCCUGUUUAGCAACAUCGCUCUGAACACGAAACUGCCUGAUCAGUCAGUUGUUCAGGGCAUACUCACAAGAGAUUCGCAACUGUGGAAAUCCGCCAGAACAGCAUGGCACAGGUUAUUCAUAUACGGAAUGCUCAUGGAAUAUGAGAGUAAAAAAGCGCUCUCUAUUGUAUUUACUAAUAAUUAUGGAUCUGUUAUGAAGGAUUUCAUUAAGGACGAUCACGAUCAUUCAUUCUCGAUCGUUUCACUCUCUGUUCAGUUGUUCACCGUGCCAACUCUGGCACAUUUGCUCAUCGCAAAGCAUGAGGCUCUGUUCAACUUGUUAACCACGUUUAUGUCCGAAAGCUCCCGACGAUGUAACGCUGCUGGAAAAUUUGAGUUUGAGAGGAACAUGCCACACCAUAACUUCAAGCGGGCGCAGUUCAUACUUUACGACCUUCGAUAUCUGCUAAGUGCAAAACCAGAAGAAUGGACAGAUGAUCUGAGACGUGGCUUCUUGCAAGGUCUUUCGCUACUGUUCAAUCUCUUUUCCAACAUGCAAUGCAUGGACGCAGUACGUCGACAAGAAGGACAGCAUAUGGAAUACGAGCCUGAAUGGGAAUCAGCGUUCAAUCUGCACAUAAAACUGUCGCCAGUCAUUACAUUGGCCUUGGAAUGGUGCAGUUCGGACCGAGUUGUACUGAUCAAGUCCUUCGGAUCUCUUCUGAAAAAACUACAUGAACAGCAGGCAAAUGAGCAACCGCCAAGCCAAGUGCGAGAGCUAGCGAAUCAUAGCGCAACAUGCCUGCAAUACGAUGUGGCAUCCGAACCAGUUUCUAUCCAUCUACCACUCUCAAGAUUCCUCGCCGGUCUAUUCUUGCAUCUGGAAAAAUACAAUUUACACUUUCAUUCGUCUGAAUUUAACAAUUCAAUGAAACCGACUCCUGAACAGAUCAUCGAUCCCGUAUUGACGGCACAGGCCAUGAUUUCACAGGUGCACGCGGGCAUGUGGCGGCGGAAUGGUUACUCCUUGCUGAAUCAACUAUAUUUUUAUCACAAUGUCAAAUGCCGUAGCGAGAUGUUGGAUCGAGAUAUCGUUUUAUUGCAGGUUGGCGCGUCGCUGAUAGAAAGCAACGAAUUCUUGAUUCAUGUCUUAAACAGGUUUAAUCUCCUUAAUUGGGUACAACCAGACUUCGAGGUAAAUGCCUUAAAAAAUCCAGAGGAAGAUAGGCUGCGGCAGACGAUCAAUCUAGUGGAGGAGUUUUUGGGCUUACUCAUCACAAUCAUUGGCGAAAGAUAUGUUCCCGGAGUUGGUCAGGUGACCACAGAUGAUCGUCUCAAAAAGGAAAUUAUACAGCAAUUGUGCAUAAAACCGCUCUCGCAUUCUGAACUGAGCAAGACGUUACCGGAGGAUGUUAUGCACAAUGUUCAGAUCGAAUUGGAAAGAAUAAUACGCGAAGUAGCAACGUUCAAGAAACCAGUACAUACAUCGACAAAGGGUGUGUACGAACUCAAUCCGCACUUGUAUUCGGAAUACAAUGUGUUCUUUUAUCAUUAUACGAAGGAAGAACACAGCAAGUCCGAGGAAGUCCAACGGAAGCGGCGGAAAGCUCAAGGAGAGUUGGAAUGUUGUCCACCGCCGAAGCUGCCUAGACUAACGGAGUCCUUCAGUUUGGUAGCGAAUCUAUUGCAGUGCGACGUUAUGCUUCACAUCAUGCAGACUGUUCUGGAACGCGCACUUAAUUUCAUAGCUAGGAGUUUCUCCGAGCCACAGGUGCACAAAGUAUUGUAUUUGAUCGGCUAUGCUUUACAGGAACAGGAAUCCGGCUACUAUCCUUUCCUUGCGUUUCCCGAGCGAGCAGCGAAAUGGAAGAUCUACAAGUUGCUGGAAAAUCUGACCAGUAGUCCGCGCAUGGAAGCUCACAAGGAUUUACUUACGUGGGUUUUAGCCAAAUAUCGCCAGGUCGCCAGUUUGUCUGGGAAAGAGACCAGUCCGGCGCCUCUUCAGUUCGAGCAGCAGCAACAGCAAGCAGGCGAUGAUGUUAACAUCAACAAAAAAACGGAUAAGGAAUGGCGAACAAAAAUGGCAGCUCAGAAACGUGCCAAGAUCAUGGCACAAAUGGCAGCAAUGCAGAAGCAUUUCAUGAAGAAGAAUGCUACUUUAUUUGAUGUAGCAAGUGUGGAAGUCAAAAUAACAGGCGCUCGUUGUGGCUCGGCCAUGGAUUUAACGGAGACCUCUUCUCAGGAAGGUAAUCCUGCUCAGGAAGGUAUUGCCGUCGGUUUUAAUCAGACUAAUAGGCAGUGUGAACAGAAAAUGUACACUUGCAUUCUAUGCCAAGAGGAUCAGGCAGUGACGGAAACUGGUUCGGCAAUGGUAUUGGCUGCGUUUGUUCAGCAAUCCACCGUGUUGUGCCAAUGUCGUGACGAUUUUCAAGAGCCCGAUCCGUUGUACCUGUCAGCGAAAUUGGGCGUGUCACCACACACGAGCACAUGUGGCCACGUGAUGCACGCUCGCUGCUGGCAAGAUUAUGUCGACAACGUACUCGCUAAGGAAAACCGGCGACCCUAUAGAUCACGACAACAGGCUAGUUUUGACGCAGAGAAUCAUGAAUAUCUUUGUCCAUUAUGUGAAUGUCUCAGCAACACCGUUCUCCUGCUUGUACCACCCUUAGGAAUAUUGCAACCAACUCCGGAACCUCAGCCGAAUAUCACUUUCGAGACGUGGAUGAAGGUAAUGGCACUCACGUUAGAUUGCAAACCGAACAGGAAAUUUGGCAUGGAGAGGGACGAGGAUACAUUGGAGGAUGAAAAGAUAAUCAAUCCUAUGAAAGUCCUUCGUCAAGAGAUUGGAUGUGCUUGGGAGCCAUUUCAAGCGCAGUAUUCGCGAUCUGGACCACACCUCGCACGAAGGAUGGAGGCUAUGAUUAACAUGUACGCUUCACUUUUUGCAAAAACUACAUACAAGGGAUUUGGUAGUAUCGAUGGCGAUUCGAAGGUGCCUUUGUUAGCCUGGAAAUCAGUAGCAUACACAAUUCAUGCGAUAGAAUUCCUGUUGCGGGAUAUGAACAAGCCAUUGCUAGGUUCCAUGACCUCUCGACAAAGCGACAGUCUCAAGAGCCUCGUGCGAUUAUCAGCUCUCUUGGGUGCGAGUUUUUCGAACCGUGCAAACCUCUGGUCGCAGCGCCAUCAAAUCAAAACUUAUGCAGCGUCAUUGUUGACGAUGUUGAUAGAGGCACCAUCUACUGGACCUAGCAUCUUCGAUAUCGAUCCAUUCGGCGUACUAGUACCGCUUAUUAAUUCAUUGCCGAGCAUAUUUCACACGAAGGAAUACGAGACGGCCCCAAAUCCGCCACCUAUCAUUACGGGCGAUGUGUUUGAUUCCCAUAUGCUCAAGCUCGUAUUCCUGUGUCACAUAGCAAAAAUUCUGUAUACAUCUGACUUCGCCGACGUAAUGGAACUAGAUAGUAACGAGAUGGAGGACGAUGAUAACGAAGAUGAAAAUAUUGAAACCAAAAUGGACUUUGCCCUAUUCCACAUUCUGGGUGUGCAUUAUGACAAGCAGAAAGCCAGUGACGUAUGGCGACGAGUAGAAUCUGCCUGUCGACCCUUCCUCCGAUGUUGCGCUAUCUAUUUUCAUUACGUGACCGAUGUGCCACCGCUAAGUGAAUUGACGGAGGUGCAUGGUGAUACAUACGAAAAACUCUGCCAAUACCUGGGAUUACCCACUACCUGCGACGCUUUGAUCUACUCUCAUCUAGAGACCUCCCUGAAGCUGCUGGCUGUAUGGCGAAGACAUUCUACCAUCUGGAAUCACAUGUCAGGCGAAAGGAAGUUGACGAUUAUCAAGGAUCCAUUGAAGGUGAACAAGCUGAUAGAUUUGCCAGAGGAUUAUAGUGAACUCAUCAACUCGAUAUCCCAGUUCACUUGUCCGAACAGAGACCGGGAAGACUCACGUAAUCCGACGAUGUGCCUGGUCUGCGGCGAGAUGCUGUGCUCGCAGAGCUACUGUUGCCAGAUAGAUUUCAAUAAGACAACGGUAGGCGCGUGCACGUUCCACGCGAAUAAAUGCGGCUACGGCGUCGGUAUAUUUCUACGUGUACGUGAAUGUGAGAUUCUUUUCCUGCGUACGCCUAAUCGCGGUUCUUUCCUUUGUCCGCCGUAUCUCGAUGAGUAUGGCGAGACGGAUCAGGGUUUACGGCGCGGUAAUCCAUUGCAUCUCUGCCAUGAGAAGUACCAGCGGCUGCACCGCUUAUGGCUUGGUCAUGGAAUCCACGAGUCCGUCACCCGGGCGUUCGAACAAUCCUCAAACAACCUGUUGCCGACCCAGUGGCAGCAUCUAUAACUCCAUGAGAUUCCCUAUGGUGCCACAGAUCUGACGUUUAGACAAAAAAAGAAAAAAAAAAUGAUCCUCAUCUUUGACGCGAUGUCACUAUUGAUAGAAAAUCAUUGUAUCGUCUUUCGCGAAGGUCAUCGUCGUGACGAGGGAUUAUUACAACAUUAUUGGUUUCAUCAUUACACCUGGAAUUGUUUAAACAAAACUACGAUGCCUUGCACCCGGUGUUUCUAGCAAUACGCACGAAAGGUUGUGCCGCUGUACAUUAUUAGAUCGCUUAGAUAAUAAUGCAGUGAUCAAUUAGUUUUGAAGUACUUGUGAAGAUACGUAUAUAUUUAUAUACGAGUUGCAUAAUUAUAUUUGUUAUGAAGAACAGCAUUAAUGCGGACGUAUACACGUCAUUAAUUGUACAUUGAUUUAGAUGUAUUUUUACUACAACACUGCAGAAUGCGGAAAUAAUGAUUUCGAAAUGCAGUAUAAAUUAUUUGAAUGCUGGAUCUUGGAAGAUCUUGGUAGAUAGAUUCUAUAAUAAAUAUAUCUUUUGGAAUUUCAAAUGCCGCAGGAUCAUUUGUAUUAUUUGAAAGUUCUGAUAUCGCUAAAAUAGUCCUUAAGAAUUAAGAAUUUAUCUUGCGGUUUCAUUCUGAAAGAAUAUUAAUCGAAAUGGCAAGAUGCAUUGUCAUUGCUUUACAUUUACAACAUCACAUGUUUGUUUUUCCCUCGAUUCUUCGAACGUUGCUUGCGAGACGAGAAUGUAAGAUGCAUGGAAAAAGAUUGAUUUAUACAAACUCACGUUAUUUAUAUUCUUUAGAAUUCAAUAAAUUAAUCUUGGAGAGAAAAAAGAAAA